GAUCGAUGAUGAAAAUAAGCAAGUUUGAGCAUCAGAAGACCUUCCAGUCUACUUGAUGCAUGAGCUCUACAGUUUUAAGA
ensembl:snoRNA